CGGGCGCCUGUGAUCCCAGCUACUCGGGAGGCUGAGGCAGGAGAAUGGCAUGAACCCGGGAGGCGGAGCUUGCAGGGAGCCGAGAUCACACCACUGCACUCCAGGCUGGGCGACAGAGCGAGACUCCGUCUCAAAAAAUAAAUAAAUGUACCAUGGAAACCUGCCCCGUCCUCACCUCACCCAAUGUCAGAGUCAGGGACACAGGGCAUAGCCCACAGGGUAGGAUGACAGGAUGUCCACCCAGGCCCUGACCCUCCUGACCGCCCCUCAUCCAGGGGUACCCCGACCUUUUAGGACUAUGACGUGCCCUGAACACCGGGGAUGUGGGGUGCCCCAAUCCUUUAGGACUACGGGGUACUCUAAACAUGACAGCCAUGGGGUGCCCUGACCCUUUAGGACUAUAGGGUGCCCAGAACAUGACGGCCGGAGGGUACCCCAACCUUUUAGGGCUGCGGGACACACUUCUUAAGACUACAGCUCGGCCUACAGGAGUCCAGGGGACGCCAGGCCUAUGGACGGAUGGGGCCGCCAGGUAGGCGUGCGGCCAGGACCACCCAAGGAC
rnacentral:lncRNA from 1 species